rnacentral:rRNA from 1 species
AGAACGAACGCUGGCGGCAGGCUUAACACAUGCAAGUCGAACGCUCACCUUCGGGUGGGAGUGGCAGACGGGUGAGUAACGCGUGGGAACGUACCCUUUGGUUCGGAAUAACCCAGGGAAACUUGGGCUAAUACCGGAUAAGCCGGAAACGGGAAAGGUUUACCGCCGAAGGAUCGGCCCGCGUCGGAUUAGCUAGUUGGUGGGGUAAAGGCCUACCAAGGCGACGAUCCGUAGCUGGUCUGAGAGGAUGAUCAGCCACACUGGGACUGAGACACGGCCCAGACUCCUACGGGAGGCAGCAGUGGGGAAUAUUGGACAAUGGGCGCAAGCCUGAUCCAGCCAUGCCGCGUGAGUGAAGAAGGCCUUAGGGUGUAAAGCUCUUUACCAGGGAAGAUAAUGACUGUACCUGGAGAAUAAGCCCCGGCUAACUUCGUGCCAGCAGCCGC